rnacentral:lncRNA from 1 species
UCUUAGACUAGCAGCACUGCCAAAGAAAACCCUUUAUUGAAAAUAUUAAAGUUUAGUUUGUCAGUGGUGAUGCAUACAGAGACAAGUGCAUUUCUCCUUGAAUUGUAGGAAGGCCAUCCAGUGCUACAGAGUAAGUUCCAGAGCAGUGAGGGCUACCCAAAGAAAUCCUGUCCAAAAAAAAACAAGCAAAAAACCUUUUAAAAAGAUGGCAAGAUUACAUUUAGAAAUGCUUUCUUUUAAAACAGAACAUUUCAGAAUUUCAUGAAUUUGAUUAUCAGACAACUGAAGUAUUGAUAGAACUUUUAAGAAUUAUGCAAAGCUUACAUUUAUAUUUUGUUCAAAGCACAAGAUAGCAGGCCUUAUUCUUUGAAGUCUACAACUUAAAAGUAAAAGAAUCCUAAUAUUCUAAAAGUUUGUAACAUAAGGUACUCUAAUGAAAUAUAAUUUGUGCCUCAGGAGUGGGGUCCAUUUACUAUGUUGUUGAAAGUAUAAUUUUUGCAUGCAUCAAGAAUAAUUAAACUUCUAGAAAGUACUGCUUACCUAAUUGCUUCUGGGGUCCAUAGUGCGGUUAAAUCACAAGUGUAACAAAUUUGGUUUAUACUUGAAUUCAGAUGGUGUUACAAAGUCUGCUUUCAGUUAUUUGCUAUGUCCCUGUACAACAUUGAAUGAAGCUUUAAGAUAAAUAAGCCUGUCGGCUUCCAUCUACUUGUGGGUCAGGUUUUUAAAAGAAAAGUCUGGCACUAGUUUCUACUCUAUUUAGCUAUUGAUAGAAAAAAAGACUAGCAGAUGAGGAUCCACUUCUGAGUGACUUCUGAAGUUAUCACUUAAUUUGACGCCUUAGUAUUAUAGUAAUCUCAUGCCACUUGUUAGGGGGAGAACACCUAUUCAGAUUACACAUUGAGCUUAAACUGAGUUUAAUGAAUCACUUCUGGGAAUCUCCAAGAAAUAAGUUUGGACUCAGUGCAGCUGUAGACAAAAAGACCUGCUCUUUUUCUAUUGCUUGCUUGAUCAUUGGGACUUAAAAAAAAUUGAUGCAUGUCUUUUUUAAUUAAUUGGGUGAUGUUUUUCUAAAAUUAAAAUUUUCUUCUUCCUAUAGCCCUGCCAUAGGACAGGCUGAGGCUGAGUCUCAGUGUUGCCCUGUUCAGUCUGAGGCAAGUGGGAUUUAUUUUAUUACUUAUGGGGGCUUUCACAGCUUUAUGGCUGUUGGAUAUUUAUGUCCCCAAACUUGCAGCAAGUUUGGUGAAGGCCCCUAAAUUUAAUUAAACUUAGGAUUUUUAUAUUCCUUUGGCAGAGAAGGCUCUAUAUUAAUAUUCACGUUUGACUGUGGUGUUAAUAAGUAUAAAUAAGUAUUGUUUUAUUAUAUAAUAUUUAAUGCUUUGUGAACCUUAGUAAAUUCACCAUUUUAUAUUCUUGAUUUGGAGGCCUGAUGUGUUUCAUUCAAAUUUUUACUUAGACCUCUAGGAAAAAAUCAUUGGUUGUUUUUUUUGCUCAAACUUAAAUUUAACCUCAAGGAUAAGUUAUUUGAAUUGCCACAGGAUACUGAAGUUUGUUCUAAAUCUCAAGCUUAUAUUGAACAUCGAGGUGGUAAGGUCAUCCGGAAAGGCUUAUGCUCUUUAAUGUUCUCAAAUCUCACCACACUAGAGCAAAUGUUAAUGUAGAGCCCUGUAAUGAGUGGGGAGGUCAUUUGUCUGUGCGUGUGUGGUGUAUUAUAGAUGGGUGUAGACUACAGGUGUGGUAUUAAAGGGCUUUGGGUAUUACAUGGCUCAAUGGAAAGAGAACUAAUUUUCAGGUAGCCAAACUGAAAUUGGGUCAUAUAAUAAAUAUGAAACUAGUUCAGAAUGAUUUUGGAAGUUAAAUUUUCAGAUUUUACUGAGCAGUGCUUCAUGUAAUGCACACACCAGUAGUAUAUCCACAUUUGUUUUCAAGUAGAAUUUGCUUUGAUUUUGGUGUUCAGAACUAGUGUGUUGGGAAAUGGGGUGAUGACAGAAAGUAGGUUCCAACUUGUUUAUUCCUUACAUCAGACUGGAAACAGAUUUUAAUCCUUGGGGGGGAGUUGUGGUUAUUUUAAUUUUAGAUUUUUUCAAAUGGGUUUUCUCUGUAUAACCCUAGCUGUCAGUCUGGAACUCUUGUUUACAAGACCUCGAACUCAGGUAUCUGCCUGCCUCUCUGCUUCCCCAGUGUUGUGAUUAAAGGCCUGGGCCCCGACACCUGACAAGAUAUUAAUACUUUCAGGAACUACUGUUUCCGUGACAAUGUUCCACUGGAUUGCUGAUAACAUUUAGUAAAUUACAGUUUUGGGUUUUUUUUUUUUAGACUUGUUAAAUGGACUUUACUUCAAUCAUAGGGUGCUUAUCUAAUGCUAUGUCCAAGACCUUGAAUUUCAUUCCCACCACCAUUUAACAACUGUGACUGCAGGUGUAUUUUUAUCUUGUGUCCACCCUACUCUAGUAUAUGUAAAUCUCUUAAAAUUGCCUGAGCCGAUUUUAAGUUAAAAUAGGUUCUUAUUUUCUUGAAUAUAGGGGUGGGGAAGCGAUUUACUAAUCAUGAUACAUUUGCUUAAUGAAUACCAAAUCAUUCUUUGCACUUGGCUGUAUUCCUCACAGUUGGGAAUUUGAGUUAGGAAGAUUGCUGUGAGUUUGGAGAUCAGCCUGGGCUACAGAGUAUAAGACCCUGUCAGGGUGGAGAUGAUGGCUUUGUAGUUCAGUGAUCCAGAGAACCAGUUGAGAAUUAUGCAGUUUUCAGGUUUCUGUAAAAGCACACUGAUAACAUUUGAUAAACAAUACUGACUUCGCUUUGUUGAGAUACAGUAAGCAAAUGAAUGUGGGAUUUGUACAUUUUUAUUGGCUAGAAUUUACUAAGCAUAUACCCUAAAUUUUUUAAUAAAUCUGAUACGUAUUUUUAAAGGU